GACGAACGCUGGCGGCGUGCUUAACACAUGCAAGUCGAACGGAAAGGCCCUUCGGGGUACUCGAGUGGCGAACGGGUGAGUAACACGUGGGUGAUCUGCCCUGCACUUUGGGAUAAGCCUGGGAAACUGGGUCUAAUACCGAAUAUACCCUUCUGGCUGCAUGGCCUGGGAGGGGAAAGCUUUUGCGGUGUGGGAUGGGCCCGCGGCCUAUCAGCUUGUUGGUGGGGUGAUGGCCUACCAAGGCGACGACGGGUAGCCGGCCUGAGAGGGUGACCGGCCACACUGGGACUGAGACACGGCCCAGACUCCUACGGGAGGCAG
rnacentral:rRNA from 1 species